rnacentral:lncRNA from 1 species
AAACUGUAAAUAAACCAAGACCGUUCCAGGAGAUUCUAUAGACUUUUGCUGAUGAAUACACAAAAGCAGACCAUCAGACAGACACGCUAGCCUUAAAAAAAUUGACUGACCCUCCCACUCGCCUCUUGGCUGUGUCGUGGAUGGAGUGGAGGGAACCAGGCCGCCUGCCCGGGUCUGGAGCGCUGCUGUCUGCUGAUGAAGGCACAUCUUAUGCUGGAUCCUCACCUGUUUUGCUGUGAAUUGAAAACUAGGCUCUAUACUUGUGUAGUUUCCCAGGUUACCUCUCAAGGCAGCUAGGAUGCCGCCUGCCAGCAGAUUCCAUUUAUUUGGACAAGACCGUGCGAGAUGCCUUCCUAAUUAGCUGUAUUGGCUGCUUGAGUCACCGGGCACUCCAGGUGGGUGCUGGGCUGGGGAGCACCGAGGGAGCUGGGUUGCUAACGAAGGGGGUGAGGCCGUAUGUGAGUUGGAUCCUAAACAAUGAGAAACAUUUACCCCCAAGACUGGGGGUAAGAGACGUUCCAGCCUAAAAGGUCAACUGGGUAACGAAUGAGGUCAACUGGGUUCAGAACGACCUCCUUUGGUAGUUUGGUGUCAGCAGUAUGAAAAUAUGCUUCCUACGCAGUAAGAGAUUCAAUCCGAAGUUUAAAGCAGGGUCACCUCGAGUUUGAGGGAGCACACCCCUGGGAGCCGGUGGGACCCGGUGCAGGUCUUGCCUCACGCUCUCCCCUCUGUGUGGCCUGUAAACCCU